CCAGAAUCUCGUGCUCCUAGCCCAGUGACAGCAACGAACUCGUGGAGAUUUGUUCGCCAUCUCCCCUCUUCGCCAUUUCUUAUGAGAAUGGAUACCUCAAAUGAAGGUCCAAGCUCUUUUGGUUCAGCUCAUAGCAGUUCUUCAUCUGUGGUGCAGCGCGUUUGCUUCUGCUAGCGGCCGACUAUUGUCAAAACAGCCAAAACUAAGAAAAACUUUGGAAUGAGGUAGUACAUCGUUUACAUCAAAUGCAUAAAUAUUUGGAGGCUCAAGCGAAACGAUAUGAAACAUUGGUUGAAGUUGAAGUUGGGAAUGUGAGAACAGAACAUGAUAAAAAAACUAUGCAGCUGAAGGCAGAAAUUGAGAGUGAAGCUCGGCAUAUGAAGGAACAACUGCUGAAUGAGAUAUCUCAGUAUCGUAAACAACUCGAGAUUGUGGACAUAAAGAUGAAUGCAAUAAAGAAGAAUUAACUUACAAUCAUUGUGUAUUUAUGGAUCGUAAUGAUGUAUGCAUUAUUCAUGUUGUUCUUUAGAUACAUUCACAAUGGUCACCAUGUCUGCAAAUUAGGUCAUGUGAUGCUAUCUUGAGGUUGGUCGUCAUGGUGGAGCUGAUGGAUCGUGCUGUAGUUUUUUGUUGUGGUUUUGUGAUAUGUUAAUAUAUUUACCAAUGUGUAGUAU